UUGCGGUGUUCGCGAGAGCGAAAUUAAAAGGGAAUCGGGUGCAAAUCCCGGACUGUCCCGCAGCUGUAACUCUUGAUAACGACCUAUCUUAAUGUCACUGCCCAAAGGCGGGAAGACGAUAGGAUCGGAGAGAAGUCAGAAGACCUGCCGUAACAC
rnacentral:ncRNA from 1 species